rnacentral:rRNA from 1 species
UACGUAGGGCGCAAGCGUUGUCCGGAAUUAUUGGGCGCAAAGAGCUCGUAGGCGGCUUGUCGCGUCGGUUGUGAAAGCCCGGGGCUUAACCCCGGGUCUGCAGUCGAUACGGGCAGGCUAGAGUUCGGUAGGGGAGAUCGGAAUUCCUGGUGUAGCGGUGAAAUGCGCAGAUAUCAGGAGGAACACCGGUGGCGAAGGCGGAUCUCUGGGCCGAUACUGACGCUGAGGAGCGUAAGCGUGGGGAGCGAACAGG